AGUGGAUGGGGAGCAACCUAGUUGUGCGUGUGUAAAGGUAGUGCCAAGAAAAGCGAUGAUCAUGUUGAAAAUCAAUUCCCGGUACCCGAAACCGACACAGGUGGGCAAGUAGAGAAUACUAAGGGGCGCGAGGUAACUCUCCCCAAGGAACUCGGCAAAAUGACCCCGUAACUUAGGGAGAAGGGGUGCCACCGAGAGGUGGUCGCAGUGAAGAGGCCCAGGCGACUGUUUAGCAAAAACAUAGGUCUCUGCAAACUCGAAAGAGGAGGUAUAGGGGCUGACGCCUGCCCAGUGCCGGAAGGUUAAAGAAGUUGGUCAGUUUUAGGAUGAAGCUAGCGACUGAAGCCCCGGUGAACGGCGGCCGUAACUAUAACGGUCCUAAGGUAGCGAAAUUCCUUGUCGGGUAAGUUCCGACCCGCACGAAAGGCGUAACGAUCUGGGCGCUGUCUCGGAGAGAGGCUCGGCGAAAUAGGAUUGUCUGUGAAGAUACGGACUACCUGCAUUUGGACAGAAAGACCCUAUGAAGCUCUACUAUAGCUUGGAAUUGUGUUCGGGCUUCCCGUGCGCAGGAUAGGUGGGAGGCGUAGAAGGUAUUCUUGUGGGGAUACUGGAGCCAACGGUGAGAUACCACUCUCAGGAGGCUAGAAUUCUAACUUAAUUAAGGACAGUUUCAGGUGGGUAGUUUGACUGGGGCGGUCGCCUCCAAAAAGGUAACGGAGGCGUACAAAGGUUCCCUCAGACUGGUUGGAAAUCAGUCGAAGAGUGCAAAGGCAGAAGGGAGCUUGACUGCGAGAAGUACAGUUCGAGCAGGGUGGAAACACGGUCUUAGUGAUCCGACGGUGCUGUGUGGAAGGGCCGUCGUUCAACGGAUAAAAGUUACUCUAGGAUAACAGGCUGAUCUCCCCCAAGAGUUCACAUCGACGGGGAGGUUUGGCACCUCGAUGUCGGCUCAUCGCAACCUGGGGCGGAAGUACGUCCCAAGGGUUGGGCUGUUCGCCCAUUAAAGCGGUACGUGAGCUGGGUUCAGAACGUCGUGAGACAGUUCGGUCCAUAUCCGAUGUAGGCGUGAGAAUAUUGAGAGGAGCCUUCCUUAGUACGAGAGGACCGGGAAGGACGCACCGCUGGUGUACCUGUUAUGAUGCCAAUUGUAAACGCAGGGUAGCCAAGUGCGGAGAGGAUAACCGCUGAAAGCAUCUAAGUGGGAAGCCCACCUCAAGAUGAGUAUUCUGGUGUAAGGUCACGGGAAGACGACCCGUAAAUAGGCACGAGGUGGAAGUGCAGAGAUGUAUGAAGCCGAAGUGUACUAAUAGACCGUCGGCUUGAUC
rnacentral:rRNA from 1 species